ACCAUCUGGAUAAUCCCCUGUCUAAGAUCCUUAAUUUAAUCACAUAUGAAAUUUGCCACAUUGUCUCCUUUGCCAUGUAAGGUAAUAUAUUCACAAGUUUCAGAGAUGAGGCCAUGGACGUCUUCGGGGAGUCACUAUUUUUCCCCAGAUCCUUCUGGAAGACACACAAAGCAAGUCUUAAGGAGCCUCUCUGAGACAGUCCUCAGAACCAAGGCAGUUCAGAGAAUAGCGACGAGAAGGUAGGGGACCUAGUAGCAGAAAAGAGAAGCUACCUGGAGCCUAGUUCUUCUCACCCCACAGCCUCUGUCUAAUUCCUUCUUACUGCUCAAAAGAUAACUCAGGUUCCACCUCCUCCAGAAGGCCACCCUAACUCUUGCUUCCUCUCUUCCUGUCUAUGCCCACAGCUCAUUCUGUGCUUCUCUGGGAUUUUCCUGGUAAGACUUAAGGUUUGGGAGUCAACACCUGACUUCAGGUCUUAGUUCUGUGCUUACUGUGUAACCGCAGGCAAAAAAAUUUAACCUCUGUGAACCUGAAAUUCCUUAACUACAAAACAAGGAUCAUCCCACUUCCCUCAUAAGGGAAUAGUUUGGCCUAAACAAAUGUAGGCCAAAACCUGUUCACUGUCUGUUACUUCAUAGAAUCUGAAUAAAUAUAGUGAUAUAGUGACCAUCACUAUAAUUAUCAAAGUAACUAUUCACCUUCAUGUUAAUUUAUCUGUUUAUUUUCCCUCACCACUUUUCAACCCUCAGUCUCUUGAGGGCAAGGAUCCAAAUCAAUGGAUCCUGUUUCUGUGCUUAUUGUGUGUGACACCCCAAACUGGGAAUCCCUUCAGGAAUAGGAAAAUGCACUGGGGCUUAUGUAUUCACUCAUCAAACAGCUCCUGAGCUCCUGCAGUCUGGUAGUCACUGUCCUUGGUGCUGGGGAUACAGUAAGAGGAUUCUUGCCCUCCUGCUGAAAGGGAUGUUUAACAGUAUUGUUGUAACAGACACAAGUCAAAGUCCCCUUGGAAGCCCAGAGGAGAAGCAAGCAUCUGUACUCUUUGGACCAAAGGCGCAGAGAAGAAGCAAGCAUCUGCACUCUUUGGACAGAAGGCGCACAGGAGAAGCAAGCAACUGUACUCUUUGGACAGAAGGAGCAGAGGAGAAGCAAGCAUCUGUACUCUUUGGACACGAGGAAGGUAUCAACGAAGGCUUCAAAGAGGAAAUGAGACUAAAGAUGCUGAGGUCUCUGAAGGCAAGGACAAUAUCUGACUGGCUCCCCACAACUGUAUAUCUCCCUGGUGCUUAG
rnacentral:lncRNA from 13 species